UUUUACAGAUGACACACUAAGGCGCAAGGCAGCUGCACAUCCACGGCCAGCCUCGUUGUCUUCAGGGAUUUGUUCAAAGUUCAUUCUGAAUUGUAAGGUAACCACUGCAGAACACGAGCCUUUCCUGGGUAUGUGUGGUUAUUUCUGCCCUUCACGGUCCCACUCAAGUCCUGCCUCCCUCAGGGAGACCUCCCAGACCUCACCAAGCCGUGGGCACGUGGACCAGAAGCCGUGGACCCCAGAGGCUCAUUUAGGGAUCUGCUUUCUGAACCCAGGUCCUAACAUCUGCACUGCAGCGAGCAUUUCUGGUGCCUCAACUCACUGAGAGGCGAUGGAGCACUGAGUGCCAGCAUCUUCCAGCACCAGAGGAGCUGACUCUGAAUAGACAGCUCGGCAGCGGCCUCAGCACAGAGCAGGGGAGCCACCAGCCACAGGCAGCCACUGAGCCCUUGGCAUGUAACCCGGUAACCCAUGCAACAGAAGACCUGAGCGUCCAGUGUUGCUAGCUUGAAGUAACUUCAGUGGUGUUCCCCAGCGUUUUUCUCAUCCCCCUCCCUUCCCUUCCCCUACAGCUUUCUUCCUCUUUCCCCUCCUUCUGAGUCUUUCGUCCCCAGUCCUGGGAACCUUUUUUCUGACUUGGUGUUUUCUCCUGAAUGCCUCCUUCCUGGCCCCCUAAUCAGAAAUGCAGAAGCCACCUGCCCCACACAGGGGGCCACUUUCCCUGCAUCUGGCACUCACCAGGACAGUCAUAGAACUGGCCUUGGGUGCUUGGGGAGAGUGGAGAGGUCUGGGGGGCAUCCACUGGCCUCAGCCUCAGAGCUUCUCAUCAGUAACCCAGGAGGCAAAGGCCCAGCUCAAGAUUAGCCCAGGCCACUGUAUCUGUGCCAAGACCUACAGCUGUCCCUGCAGGGCGUGCAUCUCUGCAGCCCAGGCUAUCACAAUGGUGUCCCUUUUGGUGGGGAUGUGAGGCCUGCUGCUGCCUGGGAAGAAGCUGACAGGAUUGUUGGUGCUGUGGGGAGAAGCUGGUGUAACUGAGACCCAUGAGGGAGGCCCUUUGUGGGUCUGUGGCUGGGAGGAGCUCUGGGGAAGAUGGGCCUUGAGAAAUCCCAGCUUAGCACCUUUGACAGUUGCUCCACUGAGUCACCCUAGACUGCAAUCUCACAGAUGUUCUAACCACCCUCUCCCUGGGGAGCCCUUGGGGGUGCUGCAAGCCCAGUCCUCACUCACUGGCUUUGUGCUUCUCUUCCCGACUUCCUUUUUUUGCUCCUGUUGAGAAAUGUGGGUCCAGGGCUGCGUGCUCCAGUGUGCGGAAGGAAGGGCAGCGUGCUCUUUGGACUGAGCUGGCUCAAGGGAAGCUGGGUCUGAGGGGAGACUGACCUCGACCCUUCUUAAAUGAAACACCUUUUCCCUGCGUCUCAGUCACCGUUACCUGGCCUGAUCACUGUGUGCCACACCCCAUCACAUCCAUCCCCACAAGAAUGCCAGGAGGAGGGGUCAUUGGCCUUUUUGUCAGCACAAACCUCUGGAGGCCCAGCUCCCAAGACCCGCCAGGCACACCUGCCAGAGUGCCUUAACUUGGGAUGUCUGCAAACCUCUGUCCAUGGCCGAACCCACCCCACUGCCUGUUACUGUAAAUAAAGGUCUAUUAGCAUGCCACCAUGCCCCUCCUCCGAUGCAUACAGUGCCCAGCUCAGCACCUGGUGCAAGUAAGCACAAUCUGGCUUCCAGCCAUCACUGCUGUUGCUACUAACACAAAUAUUAGGCCCCUUCUAGAAUGCAAAGAUAACCCAGGGCUGCUCGUUCUGUGUCCAGAUCACAGAGUUUUUCUUUUUAUCCUUAUCAACUUUAUUGAGGGAUAAUUUACAGGCAAUAAAUCAUAUCCA
rnacentral:lncRNA from 1 species